CCUACGGGAGGCAGCAGUGGGGAAUCUUGCGCAAUGGGCGAAAGCCUGACGCAGCCAUGCCGCGUGAAUGAUGAAGGUCUUAGGAUUGUAAAAUUCUUUCACCGGGGACGAUAAUGACGGUACCCGGAGAAGAAGCCCCGGCUAACUUCGUGCCAGCAGCCGCGGUAAUACGAAGGGGGCUAGCGUUGCUCGGAAUUACUGGGCGUAAAGGGAGCGUAGGCGGAUAGUUUAGUCAGAGGUGAAAGCCCAGGGCUCAACCUUGGAAUUGCCUUUGAUACUGGCUAUCUUGAGUAUGGGAGAGGUUAGCGGAACUCCGAGUGUAGAGGUGAAAUUCGUAGAUAUUCGGAAGAACACCAGUGGCGAAGGCGGCUAACUGGCCCAUUACUGACGCUGAGGCUCGAAAGCGUGGGGAGCAAACAGGAUUAGAUACCCUGGUAGUCCACGCCGUAAACGAUGAGUGCUAGUUGUCGGCAUGCAUGCAUGUCGGUGACGCAGCUAACGCAUUAAGCACUCCGCCUGGGGAGUACGGUCGCAAGAUUAAAACUCAAAAGAUAGUACGGCGNGAGAGAGCGACGACGACGACGACGGAGGAGGAG
rnacentral:rRNA from 1 species